UACGGGGGGGGGUAAGCGUUGUUCGGAAUUACUGGGCGUAAAGGGCUCGUAGGCGGCCAACUAAGUCAUACGUGAAAUCCCUCAGCUUAACUGGGGGAACUGCGUGUGAUACUGGAUGGCUUGGAUUUGGGAGAGGGAUGCGGAAUUCCAGGUGUAGCGGUGAAAUGCGUAGAUAUCUGGAGGAACACCGGUGGCGAAGGCGGCAUCCUGGACCAAUAUUGGACGCUGAGGAGCGAAAGGCUAGGGGAGCAAACGG
rnacentral:rRNA from 1 species